UACGUAGGGCGCGAGCGCUAAUCGGAAUUACUGGGCGUAAAGCGUGCGUAGGCGGUUCCUCAAGUCCGUUGUGAAAGCCCCGGGCUCAACCUGGGAAUGGCAGUGGAAACUAGGGGACUGGAAUCUGGCAGAGGGGGUGGAAUGCCGCGUGUAGCAGUGAAAUGCGUAGAGAUGCGGCGGAACACCGAUGGCGGAAGGCAGCCCCCUGGGCUGAGAUUGACGCUCAGGCACGAAAGCGUGGGGAGCAAACAGG
rnacentral:rRNA from 1 species